UGAGGGAAAAGUCGCUGCUAUGGAGGGAGAAUAAAGGUCUCUUAGUACUUGAACCAUUUCUGUAAUUGCACUACGUGUAAUUACCAUAAAAAGUAGUAAACCGUUUUUAACAUCCAAACCAGAGCUUGCAUUUUUUGGCUGCUGAUCUCAACAGGGGACGGGCCGCUGAUUGAUGGGACGUUUGGCCUCCAACAGGGCAGCGUUGUUGUCUGCCCAAGUGACGGGGUCAGAGGUCGCAGUCCACAGAGCCGGUGACAGAACCUCGAUCACAACAGAAGGCUAAUUAUCAUGCAUUGUAGCUGGGCUCCUGCUGGGACUUCACUUUGAGCAGCAGGUCACAGGGAGACCUCCAACAUUUAAAACCUGGUGCUGUGCUUCUUUGGAUUUCUUGGUACAAUUAAGCCUGUCACUAUGACACAGGCAGUCAGUCAGCAUGUAGAGGGUCACCUGAUGACAGGUGCGCACCUGUACAGCUGCAGGUCUCCGAGUGUGGCUCAUUGGGGCACCAGAGCAGCGUGAGCGUUUGCUUGCUGUGGCUCAGGUCUGCUGACUCAUCAGCACGUUCUCACCUGAUGUCUGGUUCGGACAUGCUGAGGAGUUGGGUUACCUGGAGGGAUCUCACUCAGGUGAAGAGAAGUGUGCUUCCACAGGCCUUCAUCACAGACUGGUCAGAGAUCCCAAACUAACACAAAGUAACCUGCUGAAAGGACAAAGUCACUUCUAGUGGUUCUUCU